GACAAGUGUUACUUGGGCAGAUGAACAGCGAGUUGUGAGGGUGGAAGGACUGCAGCAUGGAUGGGGGCUUGCUGUAAUGGAGGGGUAACGGGAUUUUCUUCUGUUGUAUGGUCAAAGGAAACCAGAAAAGUGACUGGUUACGAGCAUGGUAAGCCUGAAGCUGUACUGUGGGACAAGCUGUCUGUAGCAAAAUUAGCAUGAAAUAGGAACUAGC
rnacentral:lncRNA from 1 species